GCCACUGUGCUGUAGCAGCACGUAAAUAUUGGAGUUAAGGCUCUCUGUGAUACCUCCAGUAUUGAUCGUGCUGCUGAAGCAAAGAUGAC
ensembl:miRNA mir16 microRNA mir-16